UGGAAAGACUCAAUUACAUUUCUCCACCAUCCAUCCAACUAUACAUUUGCUAUCCUCCUAUUAGUCAAUUUGGUUGGUGCAUCAAAGAAAAAAAAAACGUACUAAAAAAAAUGAACAGACACUAACAGUCCAAAAUCAACAAAAUAAAAUUAAAAUAAAACAAAUAAAAAAAUCAUAAAACUGUGGGUAAAACUCCCUAGCUUUCUCUCCUCCUCUCAUCUCUGAAUCUUCGUCAGUGCUAAACAAGAGCAGAUCCUUCCCAACCUCCUUUAGCAAUAUAUUUGACGAUGUUUCUAGAUCUUUCCCUCCUUUCUCGGCUUGAGUUCCCCGGAGUCCUCAUAUUCUCAUUUCCUCCACUCUCAGUCAUUUAUCCCCUCCUCCUUCCUAUUUAACAACGGUUUGUCUAGAUCUACCAACUCUUCCACUCUCGUCGGAGCCUCCUCAAUUUAGUACAUAGAGGAUUCGUAUCGUCUUCCCUCAUCUGC
rnacentral:lncRNA from 1 species